rnacentral:misc_RNA from 1 species
GAUGAAGAACGCAGUGAAAUGCGAUAAGUAAUGUGAAUUGCAGAAUUCAGUGAAUCAUCGAAUCUUUGAACGCACAUUGCGCCCCUUGGUAUUCCGAGGGGCAUGCCUGUUCGAGCGUCAUUAUAACCCUCAAGCUCAGCUUGGUGUUGGGGCCUGCUGCACUGGCAGCCCUUAAAAUCAGUGGCGGCCCCAUCUGGCUCUAAGCGUAGUAAUUCUUCUCGCUAUGGAGUCCUGGUGGAUGCUUGCCAUCAACCCCCAAUUUUUCUAUGGUUGACCUCGGAUCAGGUAGGGAUACCCGCUGAACUUAAGCAUAUCAAUAAGCGGAGGA